CAGGAUGUUCUCCUCUGAUUGGCAGGGAGAGUUUGAAGGUGGGCUGGCAGAGACUGUGACCGCAACUGACUGCGUUCUGCAGAAUUAUGGUAAUGAAAUUGGAAGCCAACUUUCGUGAAGCAGAAACCCUCAAGUUUCCAGGUGCUGUUCUCAGUCCAGGAAUACAAUGACGAAUAAGAUAAAGGCCCUUAUUUCAGAGCUGACACACACUAUACGUAAUGUAUCAAAAAUGGUUCUUGCUAUAUUUCUGUUUUUAUUUGCAAGAAUAUAGAUAGCAUCUGCUUUGAUAUAAAACUUUUAUGUGUCUUACAUAGUUGAUUUAUAAAUGUUCUAUCUAUAAAUAUAAAACAAUAAAUUACUAGUAACAGUUGGCUUAGGAAAACUUUUAAUCAUGUCCUACAUUUUACAACUUGUAAUUUCUACCAAAUGUUUGUAUUUUUAUUAGUCUUAUUAAAUAUAAUAAAUAUUUGCCUGACUUAACAUAUUUUAAUAGAAUUCUUCAUAUGUUUUGCAGAAAGCUAAUUAUGGUUUUCCACGUGAUUUUUCUUUCAUAUAUACAGUAUUAUUUAAAAUAAAUUUUUAUAAAAUAA